AUGGCGCUGUGGACAGGGCUGGGUCAGGCGGCGACAGUGGCGCAGCUGGUCGGUGCGGACGUCGGCGGCCUCAUCUCCAUGAUUGUGCAGGCCGCGAUGACGGCUCGUCAGAACAAGAGUGAGUGUGAGCAACUUGCUCGUCGUGUCCUCAUGAUCGCGCAGCUGCUGCCGCACGUGCAGGAGCCGGAGCCGGAGGCGGCGCAGCCGCUGGCCGGGCUGGGCGAUGCUCUUCGAGACGCCCACGAGCUCGUUGUGUCCUGCCAGGGGAGGGGCGCGGCGUACCAGUUCGUUAUGGCUGGCAGGACGGCCGAGAGGUUCAGGGAGGUUCAGAGCAAGAUUGACUCCUACCUAAUCCUCUUCCCGGUGAUCAGCCACAUCGGCAUAACACGCCGCCUUGAUCGAAUCUACAAUGUACUUGUUCAAGAUGGCUCCACCAGAGAUGAACCGUCUCGACUUCCACAGUCGUCCCAGUUGCAGGAGUCUGCGGAGGUUGUUCAGGAGGUACUAUCGCAAGGAAUCAAGGAGUUCACGUUGGCGGAGAUCAUAGCUGCCACCAAAAACUUCGCCCAUGACACAAUGAUGGGUUACGGCAGCCAUGGAAGGGUGUACAGGGGGAGGCUUCACGAUGGACGAGAGGUGGCCAUCAAACGCAUGUCAGAAAACAUACAGCUGGAGGACUUCCGCACGGAGCUUGACGUCGUAGCACAGCUACAACACAAGCAUAUCAUCCACCUCCUUGGAUGGUGUGUGAGCAGUAAGGGCAAGCGCCUGCUAACCCGGCGAACAAAGGAGUUAGAAAGGCUGAUCGUGUACGAGUACAUGGAGAAUGGCACGCUCUUCGACCACCUGCACCGAAAUCAGGCCGGCUCCUCUAUGCCGUCACCGGUGACGAUGUCUUGGAAGAUGCGCAUCGAUGUGCUCCUCCGUGUUUCACAAGCAAUAGAGUACAUGCACUGUCAUUCCAACCCUCUGAUCAUCCACCGUGACAUCAAGUCAAGUAACAUCCUUUUCGAUGUUAGUUGGGUGCCUCAUGUUUCAGAUUUUGGCUUGUCAGUCGUCUGGGACAUGGCGAGUGAGGUGUCGUGGUUGGAUGUCACCGUUAGAGGCACACUUGGGUACAUCGACCUUGAGUACCUUCACACAGGUCAUCUGAAGCCGGCGAGUGACGUGUACAGCCUCGGCGUGGUUAUGCUUGAGGUUCUGACAGGGAAAAAGGCGUUUUCCCAAGCAAAGGAGGAGAUGAAUAGAGAUCUGGCAUCCUUUGCAAUCCCCGUCAUUGAGGCCGGAAAUAUUGAGGAGAUGCUAGAUAGGCGACCUGUACCAGAGCCAAUGCCAUGGCACCUGCACGCAUUGAAGCGUGUGGCGCAGAUUGCACGAUGCUGCGUGAAGUUUGCCGGGAAGGACCGGCCUGCAAUAUCAGGCAUCGUUGCCAACCUCGAGACGGCAUGCGAGUUGAUCUGCAGAGAUGAGCCAGAUUCAGUUGACAAGUCUGGUUUGUGGCCCUUCCUUGAAAAAGUUGACGACUCACCAGACUCUCCACAUGCCAGGAGCAUGCCUCUGUUCUGA
rnacentral:rRNA from 1 species